rnacentral:lncRNA from 1 species
AUAAGGACCAACCAGGUUAACGUGAAGAAAACACCCAGCUGCAGCUGUUUAAUGAGCAACUCGAAGCUGUGGAUAAGCAUUUUAGGACCCAAAGGGACCUAAGAGAGUGCUCAGACAGCUGGCUGCGUUAGGAGCUACCUGUGGCUGCUGAAGAAGAGUUUGCGUCAAUUUAAAGAAAGAGCCAUUCAAGGAAUGAGGACCAUGACCUUGGCUGCACUGACCAGCUGGGCUCUGGAGACUCAGUGAGGCUGCCCAGCCACCAACAGGCCCUGCACAAUAGAUCCACGGACCCAGCAGUCAGAGGUGACCCUAGGGGUCACUGGCCCGUGGCUAAGGAGGAGGAGCACAGACCUGCGACCCCCUUUUCCCAUGGACCACCCAGGGAGGCUGAGCGGGGACUCUGAG